CUUUUGGGAGGCAGCAGCCUGGGAACAUCCACCCCGGGCCAUGUGAAAUCCCACUUUCUCCCCUCAGCAGCAUGACGUCCCUGGAAGGUUGGACACGGUGGGGUCCUGGCUGGGAUAGCACUGAGUCAGGCUCUUCAGGCCAUGAGGGUGCCCCAUUGGCCUGGAGUUUGGGUAGCCCCCGACCCCCAGGGGUCCCUCCCAUGGAUGCCAACACUAAAGAACACUCGCAUGGCACUUCCAAAGCUUACUUUGUGCUUUUACAAACAUCUCUGAUUCUGCCACAUCCCUGGGGGGGCAGGCGCUCUACGGUUUUUCUUGCAGCUCAUGGUUCUGUUGAAUCAUUCCCUGCUGGGUCUAGCAUCUCUCCGUAAGCACAUGCGACUAACAAUUUUUCCACCUUUGGCUUCAGGACAUCUUCACUGUCCACCUCCCUGGGAAGGACAAUGUGAGGGCCAAUGGUUUUCUGCCCUCAAGGGACUUAGUGUCCAUCUGGGGGUUACAACUGGAGGGUUAAUACUGAGGGGGCACCAGAAGCCAGUGUUUGGGUGAGUACUCAACAAAAUGCACAGACCCUGAUGCAAAAUCAGCUCACAGGACAGAGAAAGCACUGGUCUGGAUCAAGCAGGAAGCGACAAAGUACCAGAGGGGGUUGAAUGAUAUCUGACACUUAGUAGAAACACAAGGCUUUUGUGGCGGGCAGGGGCAAGGCUGAUUCUCAUUAUCCGUGGUAGUUAUGUCCUAUAUGGGCUCCCCAGGUGGCGCUAAUGGUAAAGAACCUGCCUGCCAAUGCAGGAGACAUAAGAGAUGCAGGUUCAAUCCCUGGAUCGGGAAGAUCCCCUGGAGGUAGACAUGACAACCGACUCCAGUAUUCUUGCCUGGAGAAUCCCAUGGACAGAGGGAGCCUUGGUCUCUACAGACACUGAAUUAGUUACCUUGGAACCACGGCUCCCAGGGCAAAUACAGGGUGAGGUUCCUCGGAGCCUCCCUUGGGCAAAACAGUGGAGCCACUUGACAUACAUUUUGCUGAAUUUCCUCUUCCUUUUUCUGGAUGUGCCAUAUUGUGGAUUCAUUAACACUGAACCCUGGGUCGGCAGCACCAUAACACACACCUGAAGCAUGCUUAUCAAAUGUGUGCUACACGUAUAUUCUCCUGCGGGCACAUCACAGUCUUCUUGCCCUUAGGAACGCUAGACAGCCCUUCAGCUCUCCACCCAGGAGCAUUUUAAACAAUGAAGUCACCGACAAAAUGCACAAAGUGGCACUAAAGAGACACAGAAAGGAAGCUUGUUUAGCGUCUGAGAGCUGAAACAAGAAGCCAGUGUCACCUUCGUUGGAUCUCAGCUGGGAAUGUGAGCGACUCAAAAUUUUGCCUUUCUGCUCUGACCAUGAACAGCAGAGAAAGCCGCAGAAGUCCUGAGCUGGGGGCUUACAAAUCAGUGUUGGUGGGUAGGCGCGUUGGCAAACGCAGGCUCCGUGAACAACGAGGAUCAGUUGUACUCUGUUACAGAAGGGCUGUGAGGAGAGGCACUCGGUCCCCAUCUGCCAAUUGAAUCUGACUGUAAACACAGGUGAAGGAGGCUCUCAGGUGGGGGAAAUGAAGCAAGGGUGGGAAGCUGGUUCUGGGGUAAUGUGGUGAUGGGAGGGGGCGUGACUAUCGAGGCAGAGGUGGUCAGAUAGGGGGUGGGCCGUGACUAUCAGGACAAGGGAUCAAACUUUAACCAGCAGAUCAGGGAACCUGGCAAGGGCAGGACUGGAAAAGAGCAUAAUUUUAGGACCUUGAAGGAUGGGUCAGGAGAGGAUGCUCUGGACAAAGGCCAUGUGAGGUCAGCACCGGGCCACCCCUGGAUCCUUAGAAUGGCGCUGAGUGGCUGGUCUAGAGUGAGUGAGAAGAGGAAAUAGCUUUGUGGUGUCAGACUCCCAAGUCUCCGUAUCUGUCCAAAAGGAACAAGCCAUCGAGGCAGGCCGAACGCCCAGAGGGCGGCCUUCCCUGACCCCGUCCUCCGUCUCCCUCUUGCAUGCGCCCAGGGCUCCCCAUCACGCAUCACGGUUGUUUACCUGCCUGUCGUCUUUGCUGACAUCCAUUAAAGCCCUUGAGGUGUCCAGACACUUGCACAUGAUAACUCGUGAUGGGCAUGGUCCUCACGUCAGAGGCAGCGCCACUUGGUACACAGACCCCUCCUUAGCCCAGAGCUUAUAACCUCCCUUUUCCGGGGCUUCAAGAGCUUCCAGCCUCUGCGACCUCACGGGUCCCACCCAUGCUCAGAAGGACCUUGCACUUGGUUUAAUGCUCUGCUGUGGCCGUCUUGAAAAUUCUUAAUUUUGAAGCAAGGGGCCCCAUCUUCCUAUCGCACUGGGCACCUCAGAUUCCACAGCCAGUACCGCCCCUGACUCCCCCAUCUCCUCUCCCACAAGUCAGUGCAAGCGGCCUCCACUUUGUUGAAAACUUUCCAUCCCAGAUUAACAUGUA